UGGGGAAUAUUGCGCAAUGGGCGAAAGCCUGACGCAGCGACGCCGCGUGGGGGAUGACGGCCUUCGGGUUGUAAACCUCUUUUACCACCAACGCAGGCUCCGGGUUCUCUCGGGGUUGACGGUAGGUGGGGAAUAAGGACCGGCUAACUACGUGCCAGCAGCCGCGGUAAUACGUAGGGUCCGAGCGUUGUCCGGAAUUAUUGGGCGUAAAGAGCUCGUAGGCGGCGUGUCGCGUCUGCUGUGAAAGACCGGGGCUUAACUCCGGUUCUGCAGUGGAUACGGGCAUGCUAGAGGUAGGUAGGGGAGACUGGAAUUCCUGGUGUAGCGGUGAAAUGCGCAGAUAUCAGGAGGAACACCGGUGGCGAAGGCGGGUCUCUGGGCCUUACCUGACGCUGAGGAGCGAAAGCAUGGGGAGCGAACAGG
rnacentral:rRNA from 1 species